rnacentral:lncRNA from 1 species
CUAUACAUUCGAAAUAAAUUUCAGCUUCACAUACCCAGAAAAUACAUAUAUACGCUGUACAUCUCUCUAUAUCUUCGAUUUUUCUAUACACAAACACAUAUAAGAGAAGUGAGAAAAAAAUUAGAGAGAGAAGAGGUCGGAUUAGCUUGUUGAUUGCUUCAGUUGCCUUUAAAGUUUCUCUUGCUUGUUAGAUUUUUAUUUCAGGUAUAUUUUUUUUGCUUAUAAUCUCAAUUGCCGUUCGGAUUUUCAUUUUGUGGGUAGAUCUAGUGUACUAUAGCAUGUUUAUGGUGUUUAUUUGGGCUAAAGGUUUUACAUUUUCGGUAAUUAAAGUUCAUGGC